UUAAUUAAUGAGUGGUGAAUCCCCCUGUGCGGCGGGGCUACCAGUAAGGUCUUUGAUUAUUCAACAUUGCGGAUCUGCUGACUGGGGCAGGUCCACCGGGAGGCACCCGGCACCACAUAUACCUACUUCACCGACAGUCAUAUUUGCUUUGCU
rnacentral:sRNA from 1 species